GGAUGCGAUCAUACCAGCACUAAAGCACCGGAUCCCAUCAGAACUCCGAAGUUAAGCGCGCUUGGGCGUGAGUAGUACUAGGAUGGGUGACCUGGCGAGAGUAGUACUAGGAUGGGUGACCUCCUGGGAAGUCCUCGUGUUGCAUUCC
rnacentral:rRNA from 1 species